GGGAACAUAGAGUAGUGAUUGGAAAGGUACUAGAGUUGGCCACUCUUGGCACAUUAGAUGUCACUUUGUCGGUUCGAUUCCGACUGUUCCUA
rnacentral:tRNA from 2 species